rfam:Salmo salar isolate Sally breed double haploid chromosome ssa15, whole genome shotgun sequence.
UGCAUUCAAAAACUGUAAGUCGCUCUGGAUAAGAGCGUCUGUUAAAUGACUAAAA